UGGGCGGGGCAGCCUCAGGACAACCUGACCUGCGGCCUCAGCUUGGCCCGUGGGCUGGACAGGAAGGCCAGUUGGGGGCAAGUUAGACAGCAGGAGGAUGCUGUGCGUGGAACAGGGUGCUGAGCCCAAGACAAGCCUCCCGGCGGAGGGCCCGGUUGGCAGCACUGUGGCGGGUGGGACCAGCGCGGGCAGGUUUCCGGGGGUGGGAGCCCGGGGCCCAGCACCUGGCCCGGCCCGCCCGCGAGUCGGCGCCCUGCCUCUGUGUCUUUCUGGUUUCCCACAGAUCACCCUGGUCCCUGGCGUCUGCCAUGUGCUGUUCCCCACUGUCCUGCCUCUGGGGCCCGGGCUCUGUAGAGGUGGGCAGACAGUGCUGGGCCAGACCAGUCUCCCAGCUGUCUGGGCAGCACGGCACGCCUGCGUGGGAGGCCGGGGGUGCUGAGCCCCUCGGGCCUGGGGUGAGGCAGGAAAGCGCGUGUGCAGGGGGAGCGUCCGGGCCAGCACCAGGUGCCUUGAUGUUUCCAGGAUGGGGCAGACAGCUGGAGGAGGCGAGCUGGCCUCGCAGGAUGGACGGGUCCCGGUGACAGCCCUCCCCUGACCCCUGGUGACUGGCCGUGUGGCAGGACCGGUCUCUGGGUGUGGGUAGACAUGUCAUUGGCCUGACUACAUGGGGACUCAGACAUGCCAGGUUCCCGGCCCCUGCCCCUGGCUGGCCCCCACAGGAAGAUGACCCCACCCGGGGCGGCCACAGAAACCCAUCCAACCAGCCCAGGAGGCCAAGGACUGCCAGGGUGGUGGGAGUGAGGAGGGGCCUUUUGGCCCUUGGCCUCCUCCAGUGGGGGAGGUUCUGGGGUCUGACCCCCUCCCAGCCCUCCCUGACACACCCCAUCCUGCUAUGCCACCGGGCUGGCCCUGAGGCCUUGGCCAGGUGUAUGCCAGGGGGAGGUGGCCUCUGAAGGGGCGCCAGGGGCUUUCCACAGCACUCUGCGCCUGGGAGUUUCUGGGUGGUCUCUCCACGCCUGUGCUUGCGGGCCUCCUCGUGGGGCUAGCUUGUGAUGGAAACGCCGAGGGGACAAAAAGGCACUGUGACAGUUCAGCACGGACACACACGCAGUGGCUGAGCCACGGAGUGCGGGGCCCCUCGGGGCUCUGAGCUUGUGGGGGUCCUGGCAGGUUUCCUGGAGGAACCGAGUGCUGAAGAGCCCGCAGCACCCAGGUGGGAGCCAGAAAGCUUUCCUGUGGUGAGUGGCGGUCGAGUGUGAGUGGGCACAGGGCCGGGUCUCGAGGCAGGAAGCUGGGCAGUGCUGCGCAGCGUCGGGGGGUGGAGCGGGGGCGUCUCCAGCCCAGUUGGCGGUGUUGGUGGAUCCAGUUGCAAGCGCUUUGAGGCUGAAAGGGGAGCCCACACAGCCCGCAGCCACCACCUGCCUCCUCGCUGACUGGUCCAUGUUCAGCCAGUAACGUGAGCCCCAGGAAGGGAGCCCCAGGCGCCCCAGGUCCCCCCAGCCUGCCCCUGGCCACCCUCGUUCUGGACACAGCCACCUGGCAGAGCAGAUGCAGGAUGCUGCUGCCAGAGGGGCACUCAGCCUCUGAAGAGGCCACGGCCACUGGGCCCCAGCGCGGUGACUGCGUCGUCUGCUACUCGGCCUAUGACCUCGCCGGGCACCUGCCCCGCCGCCUCUAUUGCGGCCACACUGUCUGCCAGGCGUGCGUGCGGCGGCUGGCUGCACCGGCCCCCGAGCAGCGCUGGGUCCCCUGCCCGCAGUGCCGCCAGAGCACGCCCGUGCCCCGUGGAGGGGUGGCCAUGCUGGACCUCGACCUGGCCGCCUUCCUGGCCAUCAGGGCCGGGCGGGGGCCGUCUCGCCUGGAGCCGCAUCCUCCCGGGCCCUGCAAGGGCAGCCCCACUGUUACUCAGCAACCGGCCAGGCUCCUCCCCGCGUCGGACCCCCUGCCCCGCUUCCCCCAGCCCGGAGGCUGCUGCCUGGCCUGCCACAGCCUCUGCUGGGAUCCCCCAGGCAGCCCCCAGCUCUGAGCGUUGCUCGGCGCCGCCCCUCGGAAGGGAGCCUUGGCCUGCAGCACGAGGCACAGGCUUCCCGAAACAGCCCCGUGUUCUUGCCCUGGGGCCACCGUCUAAGGUGGUGAGCUGUGCCCACAGCGCUGUGCACCCCUGCAGGAGCUGGAAUCCAGGCCAGGCCCCAGGCCCCAUGGGGGUCUGUGUGCCCUGCGGGGGCGCUGCUGUCAGAGUCCCACGAGCCCAGGGCAGGUCUGGACGCAGCUCAGAGGCAGCUCCUGCAACUGUCUGGGGGCCAGUGUCCGGGCCGGGGCUGCAGGCUGGGGGGCAGGCCCAGCAGAGGCCGCUCCUGGCCUGCUGGAGGAGGGCCCCUCCUUACAGAGCCCUGAGCCCAGCUGGAGGAUCUCUGCCUUCACCCUCUGUGAAGCCCACCCGCUCACUGCCCCCAGCUCCCGGUGUGUCAGGUGCUGUUUGGGGAGGACAAGCACGGUGGCUGCUGCUGCUGUAGGUGUGCAAGGUACUCCAGGCCAGGGGCUGACUGCUGAGGGGCGCUCAUGACAGCCGGCCCCUCCCCGGGCCUGUGGCAUCCUCUGCCUCCUGGGGGUGGCCACACAGACCCUCAGAGGGACCAGAGACAGACCCCACCGGUCUGACUGCCACACGCCCACCUCCCCCCCGCGGGAAGGGGCUGUCGCUCAGGACCCCUGGAAGGGCCGAGGGGCCCGCCCCAGCCGUGGGGGGCAGGAUGGGAGGGACAGGCCAGAGAAUGUGCUGAGAGGACAGUCGGAAAGUUCCUCCUUCCUGGGGACAAAGUCCCCCAGCCCCGGUGGUUGGUGGACAGCAGGCAGGGGCUUGAGGCAGCAGCCGGCUGGGGCGGGGCUGGCCCCCGUGGGGCUGCUCACCCUCCCCACAUACCCGGAGUGAGAAGGGGCCCGACUCCAGAAAGAGGCACCUGUGAAUGAGGGGGCCGGACCAGCUGGGGAGAGAACCGGGUGGGCUCGGGUGCUGGGCUGAGCAGCAGUGUGGCCUGGAGUGGGAGAAGGCAGGGACGCCUGUGACUGUGACCGUUGCUGGCCCCCUCUGGGGCUGCGCCGCUGGGUGGGAGCUCUGCCAGGCCCAGCCCUGAACUGGGUGACCUCGGGGUUGCUGCCCUCCCCGCCCACCUGGUGCAAAGAGCUUCCUUCUGGCCACGUGACCGUGGCAGGACAGGCACGAGAAGGCCUGCAGAGAUGAGAGCAGCCUUCCCGGGGGUCCCAGGACGGCCGGCCAGAGUGCCAGCAUCCUGCCUGCCACAGGCGGCCAGCAUGCAGCAUCCUGCCAUGUCCCUCAGGCGUCCCCGUGCGGGAGCCCAGCUCUGGGGGCCGGCUGCCCAGCCCUGCUCACCCCUGGAUGACGGUGGGGCCUGGAAGAGGCCGGCACCCAGGGCUGCGAUGGUACCCCUGGGGGGCCCUUGGCUCCUGGGUAAACAUUAAUGGGCUCGGUACACGGCAGGUCAUGUGCGCGCCCAGCCGAUCUUUGACCUGCAGCUGCUCUCGGCCCGUGUCUCCUCCCCGAAGGUGCCCCUCACUGCCCACACAGUGGUCUCUGUGACACCCAAUCGGAGACGCCCCAGAGUCCCGGCCACUUCAGGCUACGCCAUAGCACCCUGGAUCACCCACCAGCCCUUCCUCCAGCCAGAAUCAGCAGCGAGCCAGGGCUUCCUCCACUCUGUCCCCCCAGACCGGACUGAGCUCACCUAACAGCCACCUGGGGUCACUGUAGCCAUCCCCCUGCAGAAGGAGGAAGGGGGAGACCGACCGCUGAGGCCAACAGCAGAUCUGGGUUUGGGCCUGGGUCUGUUCCUGCUUGAAAUCCAUGCC